AGCGGCGUGAAAACAAAACCUCAAACAGGAAGAGCCCUGACACCGUUAGUUCAGCUAAACCUCUCUGGGAUUUUAUCUGUGAGUUUGGAUAGCGUAAUGGACUUCACUGCUGAGGGUUACCUGUCGGAGGAGAAGGUGACCGGUGACCACUGCUCGCCUCCAGGGCAAACACACACUCACACCUGGACAGACGAGGAGACAGAAGAGGAGAAGACCAGAGACGUCCCUGUGUCCCUAACAGAGGGAAAACUGUCUCCACAGUCAGAUGUGUUUUCAGACUGGGAGGAUGUGUGUGUGGAGGUGGGGGAGGAGGUGCCGAUGGAGAGCAGCGGAAAGGAGCCACGGAUGCUCAAGCUGAGGAGGAACUUACACCAGCUGGACCGCCUCUACGCACAGAAGGAGCUGAAUGUGCUGAAGGCCAGUGAGGAGCUGAGCGUAUGCUGCCUGCACAUCUCUGAGCUCCAGGGAGAGAGGGAGGCCCUAGAGGAGCUGAUUGACAGGGAGAAGCAGGAGGAGAACAGUGUUGGGGUGUUCCGUCUGCGAGCCCAGCACAAGCAUGUGUGUGAGGAGCUUCAUAGAGAGGAGGAGCUGCAGGCUCUCAUGUCCAUGGCCUUAAGGGAACACGAGUGAGUAGCACACACACACACGCAGCCUUAAGGGAACACGAGUGAGUAGCUCUCACACACACACACACUGUGACGAUGUGAUCGUCCCUACAGGUGAAUAUGCUCUCUGGCUGCCAUGCCAUUGAGCCGGGCUCUUUGGUGUGGCGGUCAGAGCGCAUGUUUGACACCCUGUAGAACCGGGUUCGAGUACACACACACACACACACACACACACACACACACACACACACACACACACACACACACACACACACACACACACACACACACACACACACACACACACACACACACACACGGCCUUAAGGGAA
rnacentral:lncRNA from 1 species